rnacentral:rRNA from 1 species
UAGCUGGUCUGAGAGGAUGAUCAGCCACCCUGGAACUGAGACCCGGUCCAGACUCCUACGGGAGGCAGCAGUGGGGAAUAUUGCGCAAUGGGGGAAACCCUGACUCAGCAAUGCCGCGUGAGUGAGAAAGGCCCUCGGGUCGUAAAGCUCUGUCAGAUGGGAAGAAC